rnacentral:rRNA from 1 species
AACUAACAAGGAUUCCCCUAGUAACUGCGAGUGAAGCGGGAAAAGCUCAAAUUUAAAAUCUGGCAGUCUUUGGCUGUCCGAGUUGUAAUCUAGAGAAGUAUUAUCCGCGCUGGACCGUGUACAAGUCUCCUGGAAUGGAGCGUCAUAGAGGGUGAGAAUCCCGUCUUUGACACGGACUGCCAGGGCUUUGUGAUGUGCUCUCAAAGAGUCGAGUUGUUUGGGAAUGCAGCUCAAAAUGGGUGGUAAAUUCCAUCUAAAGCUAAAUAUUGGCGAGAGACCGAUAGCGAACAAGUACCGUGAGGGAAAGAUGAAAAGAACUUUGGAAAGAGAGUUAAACAGUACGUGAAAUUGCUGAAAGGGAAACGCUUGAAGUCAGUCGCGUUGGCCAGGGAUCAACCUUGCUUUUUUGCUUGGCUUACUUCCUGGUUAAUGGGUCAGCAUCAAUUUUGACUGGUGGAAAAAGUUCAAGGGAAUGUGGCAUCUUCGGAUGUGUUAUAGCCUUUGCUCGCAUACAUCGGUUGGGAUUGAGGAACUCAGCACGCCGCAAGGCCGGGUUUUUUACCACGUACGUGCUUAGGAUGCUGGCAUAAUGGCUUUAAUCGACCCGUCUUGAAACACGGACCAAGGAGUCUAACAUGCCUGCGAGUGUUUGGGUGGAAAACCCGAGCGCGUAAUGAAAGUGAAAGUUGAGAUCCCUGUCGUGGGGAGCAUCGACGCCCGGAUCAGACCUUUUGUGACGAUCCCGCGGUAGAGCAUGUAUGUUGGGACCCGAAAGAUGGUGAACUAUGCCUGAAUAGGGUGAAGCCAGAGGAAACUCUGGUGGAGGCUCGUAGCGAUUCUGACGUGCAAAUCGAUCGUCAAAUUUGGGUAUAGGGGCGAAAGACUAAUCGAACCAUCU